AACGAACGCUGGCGGCAGGCCUAACACAUGCAAGUCGAACGCCGUAGCGAUACGGAGUGGCAGACGGGUGAGUAACACGUGGGAACGUACCCUUCGGUUCGGGAGUAACUCAGGGAAACUUGAGCUAAUACCGGAUACGUCCGAGAGGAGAAAGAUUUAUUGCCGAGGGAUCGGCCCGCGUCUGAUUAGCUUGUUGGUGAGGUAACGGCUCACCAAGGCGACGAUCAGUAGC
rnacentral:rRNA from 1 species